GUGCCAGCCGCCGCGGUAAUACGGAGGGGGCUAGCGUUGUUCGGAAUUACUGGGCGUAAAGGGCGCGUAGGCGGUUUACCAAGUCAGGCGUGAAAGGCCUGGGCUCAACCCGGGAACUGCGCUUGAUACUGGUGGACUUGAGUCCGGGAGAGGAUGGCGGAAUUCCCAGUGUAGAGGUGAAAUUCGUAGAUAUUGGGAAGAACACCGGUGGCGAAGGCGGCCAUCUGGACCGGAACUGACGCUGAGGCGCGAAAGCGUGGGGAGCAAACAGGAUUAGAAACCCCAGUAGUCC
rnacentral:rRNA from 1 species